CGAUAAGUCCAUUUCAGAAUGUUCACCACUGCUGUCAAGACAAGAACAAUUGAAUUUAUUACUCUUUGAAGUUCUCGUUUGUUACUCUUUGAAGUUCUCGUUUGUUACUUGUUGAAGUUCUCGUUUGUUACUUGUUGAAGUUCUCAUUUAUUAGUCAUUGAAGUUGGAAUGAAUACAUCGACAACGUUUGGCCGGAAAGAACUGGGACAGCCUGCAACGUCUCAAGUACUUUCGCAAGAGUUCAUAAUUAUUAACUUGAAUAACAAAUAUU
rnacentral:misc_RNA from 1 species